rnacentral:rRNA from 1 species
UACGGAAGGGGCAAGCGUUGUUCGGAAUCAUUGGGCGUAAAGGGCGCGUAGGUGGUUCUGUAUGUCUACCGUGAAAGCAUACAGCUCAACUGUAUUUUGUCGGUAGAGACUGCAGGACUUGAGGCUGGGAGGGGCUGGUGGAAUUCCCUGUGUAGCGGUGAAAUGCGUAGAGAUGGGGGAGAACACUCGUGGCGAAGGCGGCCAGCUAGACCAGUUCUGACACUGAGGCGCGACAGCGUGGGGAGCAAACAGG